UCCUACGGGAGGCAGCAGUGGGGAAUAUUGCACAAUGGGCGAAAGCCUGAUGCAGCGACGCCGCGUGAGGGAUGACGGCCUUCGGGUUGUAAACCUCUUUCAGCAGGGAAGAAGCGAAAGUGACGGUACCUGCAGAAGAAGCGCCGGCUAACUACGUGCCAGCAGCCGCGGUAAUACGUAGGGCGCAAGCGUUGUCCGGAAUUAUUGGGCGUAAAGAGCUCGUAGGCGGCUUGUCACGUCGGUUGUGAAAGCCCGGGGCUUAACCCCGGGUCUGCAGUCGAUACGGGCAGGCUAGAGUUCGGUAGGGGAGAUCGGAAUUCCUGGUGUAGCGGUGAAAUGCGCAGAUAUCAGGAGGAACACCGGUGGCGAAGGCGGAUCUCUGGGCCGAUACUGACGCUGAGGAGCGAAAGCGUGGGGAGCGAACAGGAUUAGAUACCCUGGUAGUCCACGCCGUAAACGGUGGGCACUAGGUGUGGGCAACAUUCCACGUUGUCCGUGCCGCAGCUAACGCAUUAAGUGCCCCGCCUGGGGAGUACGGCCGCAAGGCUAAAACUCAAAGGAAUUGACGGGGGCCCGCACAAGCGGCGGAGCAUGUGGCUUAAUUCGACGCAACGCGAAGAACCUUACCAAGGCUUGACAUACACCGGAAACGUCUGGAGACAGGCGCCCCCU
rnacentral:rRNA from 1 species